UCUUGGCUUUUUGGGUCCCCCCCCAGAACCAGUUGGGGUACCCCCCCCCUACGGCCAGUGGGGCCAGUGGUACGGCAACGCUCAACUGGGCCAGUACGUGCCCAACGGCUGGCAGGUCCCCGCCUACGGCGUCUACGGCCAAGCCUGGAACCAGCAGGGCUUCAGCCAGACACAGUCGUCGCCGUGGAUGGGGCCCGGUUACGGGGUGCAGGCGCCGGGGGGGCAGAACGGCAGCGUUUUGGGGGGGCAGAGCGGGUACCGGGUGGGAUUCGAGGCGCCCUGAGGAGGAGGAGGAAGAAGAGGACGAGGAAGAAGAAGAGGAAGACGAGAGGAAAAGCGACGCCUCGGGCUCCAAACCUCACCUUUUUUUAUUGUAUUUUCUUUUUUUUUUUUUUCAUUGGAAACACAGGGAAUUGCAGGGAUUGUUUCAAAAUAAAAAAAAAAACAACAAAAAACUGCCGCCGGGGGCAGCGAAAUUGCACAAUUUUGACUUUUUUUUUAAGGAAUGUGAUUUUUUUGGGUCUGUUUUUAAUAUUUUCUUUCAUCUCCCCCUCCCUCCCCCCGGGAGAAAACACCAACAAAAAGAAGAAAUAAGAAACAAGAAGCCAAAAUUUGGGGGAUUUUGGAGUGUUGGCAUCUUCUCCCCCCCUCCCCCUCUCCCCAGGGUUUUUUUUUGACCUUAAAAUCAUUUUUAUCCCUUUUUUUAAAAAAAACACCUAUUUUGAUGUCUUUUAUUUUAUUUCUCUUUUUUACCCCCCCUUUGCCUUAAGGAGCUUCCACCGGGGACGGCGCCAAAUCCUGGUGCUAAAAAAACGGGCCAAAAUCCCUCUUUUGGGUUAUUUCGGGUUGGUUUUUUUUUGGGGGGGUGGGGUGGGGAGGGUUUUUUGGGUUGUUUUUUACCGAUUUCUACAUUUCCGUGUAUCGAUUCUGUAAAAUAUUUGAGCGAAUUAAGACUUUUUUUGCACAAGACUCAGCCACCUUUGUCUGUUUCCUUAUUUUAAAGGGAGGAGGUCGGGUCCUUCCAGGGUGGGGGUUACGCCUCAAAAUUUUAACUUAUUUCUCUUAAUUUUGGGGCUUUUGGGGCAAAUUUUAGAAUUUAAAA
rnacentral:lncRNA from 1 species